rnacentral:rRNA from 1 species
CAGUCGCCGCGGGAAUACGGAGGGAGCUAGCGUUAUUCGGAAUUACUGGGCGUAAAGCGCACGUAGGCGGCUUUGUAAGUUAGAGGUGAAAGCCUGGAGCUCAACUCCAGAAUUGCCUUUAAGACUGCAUCGCUUGAAUCCAGGAGAGGUGAGUGGAAUUCCGAGUGUAGAGGUGAAAUUCGUAGAUAUUCGGAAGAACACCAGUGGCGAAGGCGGCUCACUGGACUGGUAUUGACGCUGAGGUGCGAAAGCGUGGGGAGCGAACAGGAUUAGAUACCCCGGUAGUCCCUGUCUCUUAUAC